rnacentral:rRNA from 1 species
AUGGCUUUCCCCCUAAGAUCGAUAAGUUUGCCUUCUAGGCCUCACAUCAGUCAGGCGGAAGUUGAACAAGAGCUGCUGAGCCUAGAGGCUAGCAUCUCUUCCUCCAUUACCAUCGGCACAAUGUGCGAGGGUCUUAUGAGGCUUGGAAACAUCUACAAUGGUGUUGAAGAAAUCAUUGGCCUACCAAGCAACCAAGUAUGCUCCGCCCAGGAGAGGAAGAUGUUGGAUGGAGAAAUGGAAGGUUCUCUCGAGCUACUAGAUCUCUGCAGCACCAUGCAAGAGAUCUUCGUCGAGAUGAAAACCAUUAUCCAAGAGCUGCAAGUGGCACUAAGAAAAGGAGCUGAAGCAGCUUCUCAAGCCAAGAUCCAGUCUUACACUGUCUUGACGAAGAAGGCCAAGAAACAUUUCAAGAAGACCGCGAAGAAGGCUACUUCUGAAGGUUGCAGCAUGGUCAUGCUAUUGAGCAAGGCUAGAGAGGUCUCUAUCUCUCUGCUGGAAUCCACAGUCCUCCUCUUGUCAAAGCAAAUUGAAAUGCGCAAACAGUCUCUUAUCUCCAAGGCAUUUCACAAGACGAAGAAGCCAGUUGUUUGUGAGGAGGAGCAAUUGCAGGAGUUAGAGUGCAGCAUCGCAGAUCUUGAGAACGGAGCAGGACAUCUGUUCAGGAAGUUAGUCCAGAGCAGAGUUUCCCUCCUAAACAUCCUUAGCUCAUAG